ACAGUGCACGCACCUCUUCCUCCUCAGGAAUAUGGCUCAACAACAGUGGUCUCCCAGCUAGGAUCCCUCUAUGGUCUUAUAGUGAGAGAGUUGCAACUCAAGCACAUGGUGCAUUUCUAAGGAAUUCACACUGUAGAAUAUUUGUUGGGUCCACUGCUCCUGUCUUCCAUAUUUGAUUGCUUGGGUUCCAGUGACCUCAUAUGAAAUGGGCAUGGGUUGGGAAAUCUUGGUACGUAGGGAACAAUUGCCUGCAUUAAAAAGUGCUUGCAUAAUUUUGCACAAUUUAGAUUCAAUUGACAGUCUAUUCAGAGAAGUCUUGGGACUAAAUGAGCAUGGAGACCAAAUUGCCCUCUUACCCUAGAAAAGAGGUGGUCCCUUCUGGUCUUACCAACACUCCACUGGCCCAACACUGACAAAUCUUGCAAUGAGUCAUGCAGUAGCCUUCAUCUGUAGGUUAAUAGUCUUUUGUCUCUGUUACUUUCUCUUCAUAGUCUUUUAACCAAAUUCCAUUACAGAAAGUCUUACAAUUAAAAAUAAAUAAAAAAAAGGAAAAAUUACCCUGGCAACCAUUUUUGUGAGUGGGCCUUACUAUCAAAUCAUCCCUUAUUCAGUGUGGGUGACAUUGAUAGACUGUGAACUUCUCAUGAAACCAGCUGUCUAAAUUUGUCAAAUUGUACAGUUUUAUUGCAUGUACUCCCAUUCAUAGUUUGAGUAAAAACAAUAAGGAUGCCUCUAGAAAGUCAGCAAAAGUCUUAAAACCCAAGAGCUUCUUUUUAUAACUUUAAAAGAGAAGAUGCUCCAUUGGCAGACGCUCUUCUGCAAAUAACCUUGGCUAAGAUGACCAGAUCCAGAGCUGUUUUAUAUAGACCUUUCCCAAGUGAAAAGUGACUUCAAGAAGCACCCCGAAGUUAUUGCCUUUUCUAUAAGGAACUAUUAAAAUGAAAGAACAAAUUAUCUUUAAAGACUGUGACCCAUGGAUAUGUAACCCAAGCAAAGAAAAUCACUAGAAUCCUUUCUUUCCAUCCUUAGGAGAAAAGUAGAUAGCAAUAACUGGUAGAUGAUGGUGUGACUAUGUGACCAAUUCCAAAUUUCUCUUUGACCUUGAAGUUGAUUUUUAAUUGAUCAUAAACGGUUCAUGAAAGACAGAUGGGAAUUGUUUAAAAACCAUGAGAUGAGAAAAAUAAAUAUUUAAUGAUUUAAAAGUACAAAUCUACCCAUCUAACAAAGCUGAUGUGAAUGACAAAGGAGAAAUAAGCCAUGUUUAGUAUGCCUGCCCACUCUAGACUUUAGGCUUUGGGUACCAGCUGAGUAGAAACCACCUUCCUACCUGUGUUGGUGCAAAGUUCUGGCCUGUUUCAAAGCACAUAAAGCAAUGAUCCAAGAGCUAAAUUGGCAUCUCAUUAAGAUGUAAAAGAGCGAUAGUUAAGAAAUUCCAAUGAUAGCAAAGGUGAUUCAGGCCAUAUCUCUUCAUCUUAAAACACUAUUUAAGGUAUUGGAAAACACUUCCUAAGCUUCACUCAGAAGUUUCUACCAGUUAACUGAUCAAUUUCAUAAUGGAUGGGCAAAGAAAAUCUAUACAUGUUUAUAAAACCCACCAAGAAAAUUAUUUCUUUACCAUAUGUAUAGCUCUGAAUAGUCAUGACUUCCUUAGUUACUGUUUUUGGGAAUUGUUGUAGAAUAACAUACUGUUAUUUAGUAUCUUUGUUUCUGGCUUGUUUUAUUACCCGAACCACAAAGUAUACAGCAAAUCUACUCAGGGUGAGAAAUGAGGUCAGACACUGAACCUGAGGUCUUUCAAAGUACACGCUAAUUCAAGAUCUUAUGUGUUUCUCUGUUGUCUCUUGGCACGUGAAAGAAACCCAGUUUAAGUUUUUAAGGGGGAAGAAGUAUAUCAGCAAGGUUUGUGAAUGGUACAUCAGCUUAUUGUCUGAGCAUCUGUCUAGAAUAUUACCUAAGGCUCCACACCCUACCCUUCUCUGUACCACCACUCCUAUCUCUCUACCUGUCUCUCUUUGAACCUCUUCCUCUUCCACUCUCCUGUAUUUAUCUUGGUUUUCACUAAACAGACACGUCAUGUCUGCCAAUCAUGAAGCUGUCCUAGAGCAGAUGCCAGGACAUUUUGUUGUUGGGUUUUUUUGUUUGUUUUCUGUUCCAGAAUCACAUUGACUCAAAGUUAGUAUCACUAAGAAAAGUAGAGAAAUAGCUUUCCAGGCUGCACUCCUAGAGUAACUCUUAAAGAAAUGACAAAAAGUAUACACAUCUGCUAGCAUAGGUGCUUCAUUCUGGUCUUCCAGCAAAGUUACAGGAAAGAUUAGGACAGUUGCCCUAGUAGAGAGCUUGACCUGACAGGAAGGACGGCCCUAGCUAGUUCCUACCAAAGUGAUGACCAUCUCUAUGAUAUCUACUUUGAGGAAAACUAUUCUACAUCCAUUUGGAAGAAAAUUAGUCCCUUGGUAAUGGUGGCCUCAGACACAUUUUCUCUGUUAUGUGGUCUGUACUUUCAGAGAACACAACCAAAGUUCUAUGCCCAGAAAAUGAACACAUCUAUAUUCCCUGAGGAAUCAGGUGGCCUGUUUCUGGGAGGACUGACAAAUUCCCAUCAGAAAUCUCCUCUUUCCAUAACUGAAACAUGCAUUUGCUCUCUGACUCUCUGUCAUAUGUGCACAAACUAGCCACAUAUCUGAUUACUAAUAUGGCAUAGAACAAGUUAGGAAGCCUAGGAAGGGAAGGGUUUACAUGUGGAAAACGUUCUCAGAGCCUGUCAGAUACAGGUCUUAGCCAAGUUCUACCUGUCUUCCUCAUCUCCAUCUCUCUGAGUAACUUCUGGGAAUGAUCUUGAGGUUGCCUUGUAGGAGAGGCCAAAGGAUCUGUGUGAGCAUCAAGGGGCGUUAGCUGCUCAAUUCCCAAUCACCAUGAUGCUUUCUAGCAGCUUUGGAGAGAUUCGUUCAUUUAUGAAAUUGGCAUUUUUUAAAGUUAUAUUAAAUAUGAAGUGAAGAUCUGCCCAUCACUCACCUUGCUUUGCCAUAGAAUGUAUUAGGGCAUGUACCAGCCAGUUGGAAAGAUGCAAGCAAGUAAUAGAUUCCUUGCAUCAAUAAAAAGCCUUAUGCCUAAAAUUUCUCAUUUGUUUUUGUCAGUCAACAGC
rnacentral:lncRNA from 1 species